AAAAUGCCAACAUGUUAGUGCUAAUACUAAAAUUAUUGCAGUUUCAGUAGUCUUACAGUCAUAAUGCUGACCAGUAUUGCAUUGCAGAAGUAGUCGAAAACCAACUUUAACCCGCUCCCCAAAAACACAAACAUCAGAAUUUCACCAGUCAUCUGUCAUUAAAAAUGCUAAUGUGUUAAUAGAUUAGAUAGAACAUACUAAUGUCCGCAUAGAAAGCAGAAUAUGCCAACAUUAACACAAUAACGCCAUUGGAAAUUAACUAGUACUGAAUGCUUAAGCAGUUGCUAGAAGGGGGUUAGCCACUUGUGCCCCAAUCUUCUUGUACAUCUGGAAUUGUGUUAUAAAGAACAUCUUGUGUAAAAUUUGUGCCAAAACAACAUGUGGAUCCACACCAGAUCUGCUAUGAUGACCCUGAGCAAAAACGGAAAAGACAGAACAAAAUAUAUUUCAGUUGCUAGCCAAGAUGCUAACAUCACAGUGUUAGCAAACAUUAACACCAGCAUAUUUGUUGCAAGCCAGCAUUCAUUCAUUAAUUUUCCUGCUGCUUAUCCAGCAAGCAAGCAUGUUUAUAAGCAGUUCAGAAUUAGCAUGUUAACAUCUACUUACUACAUGUAAGUUGCACACGUACAGUUAGCAUGUUGACAACAGUAAUGUUUGAUACUUUUUUUUUUCAUUAAUGUCACACCAGCACCCCAUUCCCCUUUUGCUAAAAAUGUAAAGGACAGGCUGGUGAAUGUUCUAUUAGUUUCCAUAAGAG